rnacentral:rRNA from 1 species
CGCGUAGGCGGAUCGUUAAGUCAGAGGUGAAAUCCCGGAGCUCAACUUCGGAACUGCCUUUGAUACUGGCGAUCUUGAGUGUGAGAGAGGUAUGUGGAACUCCGAGUGUAGAGGUGAAAUUCGUAGAUAUUCGGAAGAACACCAGUGGCGAAGGCGACAUACUGGCUCAUUACUGACGCUGAGCGCGAAGCGUGGGAGCAAACA